AAUUUGUCUGCGUUAGGGAUGGAAGCGGCAUCCUUUUGCGGGAACAUAAAGAUCUAUUUUUCCUCUGAAAGCUCUUUGCAAAAGAUACAGCGGACAGCCCGGCCCGAA
rnacentral:sRNA from 1 species